GGGUACCGCUCCACCGCACUGCUCGUGUCACUCGGUACAAGUGACAAGCGAGCAAGU
rnacentral:ncRNA from 1 species